GCCAGCAUAGCGUAGCAGUUUGAGUGUUGGACUCUUAUGUCUCUGAAGAUCAGGGUUCGAUUCCCUGCUCACU